rnacentral:rRNA from 1 species
UACGUAGGGUGCGAGCGUUGUCCGGAAUUAUUGGGCGUAAAGAGCUCGUAGGCGGCCUGUCGCGUCGAUCGUGAAAACUUGGGGCUUAACCCUGAGCUUGCGGUCGAUACGGGCAUGACUGGAGUUCGGCAGGGGAGGCUGGAAUUCCUGGUGUAGCGGUGAAAUGCGCAGAUAUCAGGAGGAACACCGGUGGCGAAGGCGGGUCUCUGGGCCGAUACUGACGCUGAGGAGCGAAAGCGUGGGGAGCGAACAGG